CAAGUCGAGCGAACGGACGAGAAGCUUGCUUCUCUGAUGUUAGCGGCGGACGGGUGAGUAACACGUGGAUAACCUACCUAUAAGACUGGGAUAACUUCGGGAAACCGGAGCUAAUACCGGAUAAUAUUUUGAACCGCAUGGUUCAAAAGUGAAAGACGGUCUUGCUGUCACUUAUAGAUGGAUCCGCGCUGCAUUAGCUAGUUGGUAAGGUAACGGCUUACCAAGGCAACGAUGCAUAGCCGACCUGAGAGGGUGAUCGGCCACACUGGAACUGAGACACGGUCCAGACUCCUACGGGAGGCAGCAGUAGGGAAUCUUCCGCAAUGGGCGAAAGCCUGACGGAGCAACGCCGCGUGAGUGAUGAAGGUCUUCGGAUCGUAAAACUCUGUUAUUAGGGAAGAACAUAUGUGUAAGUAACUGUGCACAUCUUGACGGUACCUAAUCAGAAAGCCACGGCUAACUACGUGCCAGCAGCCGCGGUAAUACGUAGGUGGCAAGCGUUAUCCGGAAUUAUUGGGCGUAAAGCGCGCGUAGGCGGUUUUUUAAGUCUGAUGUGAAAGCCCACGGCUCAACCGUGGAGGGUCAUUGGAAACUGGAAAACUUGAGUGCAGAAGAGGAAAGUGGAAUUCCAUGUGUAGCGGUGAAAUGCGCAGAGAUAUGGAGGAACACCAGUGGCGAAGGCGACUUUCUGGUCUGUAACUGACGCUGAUGUGC
rnacentral:rRNA from 1 species